GCCGCGAAAAAAAACCUUUGCAUCAAGAUUAACACGAUAAAAGAUACAGUGGUUGAGACCCAUAUAUGAUGGAAGUGGAAGUAAUCAGCGAAAUGACAUCUACUCAGUUUGUCUGCACUUCCACAAUAGUACUUACAACAGCAUAUCCUCAACUACAAUUGAAGGUAUCUUCGUAUCCUUAAAUUGUACGUUUAAUACAAUAUUUUGGUCUACAUUGAUAACUUACUGAUUUAUCUAAUAUGGGGUGUGUUGUGUUUUUUAUUCAUUAUAUAGAAUGUCUACCAUCUUGACCUCAUUCGUGGAAUUACUUAAAAAAGUAAUUACCAAUUGCAAAAUAAAAUAUGCAUCAUUUAUAUCCGAAAUCAGUGAAGACGAAUGUUUACUAGUUGGGCUCGAGAUGGAUAUACCUUCCACAGUGGAAAGACCAGUUUUCCUAUGGGUUAAUACCCAACAAUGUCAACUACCACCUUGUGAACAAGUUGCACUACAAGCAAUCAUCUUCCUUCAACAAAUAUAUGGCUUCCGAAUAGUAGACUACAAUUACCAACAUAUGUUGCUACAUAAAAAAAUCUCUACAUCAUUGAUAGCAUUAGCUACUGAUGUAUUAAAUUUUAGCAGAUCAUUUGUUCCAAAAGAAAAUUUAGAAUUUAUGUGUAAGUAUCAAUAUUAUUAGAUUGGUUGUAAUGCCCACACUUAUCUUCAAUAAAUAUUCCUAUGUUUCCUCUAUUUGUUAUUGGUAAAUGACUACCUAUCAAAGUCAGAUGGGAUACAAUAUGCUAUCUAAUUUAAAUACUAAGUCCUACAAUUGGAUUAUAUACGUAAGAGUUUCAAGAAUGUGGGAAUUCCGAGGACCAAAGGAUGAAGUCUAGUUAGACACCUUGAUUUAAUAAUUUUUGAUGAGAAGGUAACAUACUAACUAUAAUACUUCUGCUAUGUAAAUUGUUUGUCCUAAUAGUUCUUCUAUAAUUGUUAUAUUUUAACCUUGCAGAACAAUUCAAUGUAUGCUGAAGUACCAUCAGAUCCGAUCAUACAACUGAAAGACCAUCUUGAAGAAGGGAAAAUUGUUGUUAUUAAGAAAUUUUUAGUGGAAAGAGCUAAAUCUGCGUUUAAAGUUGCCCAAUAUCCAUACAUGAUACGACUGAAUAGGAGAACUAUUAUAACCCAGGUAGCUGCAGAACCACCAUCAUUCCCAAGAUAUGUUUAUACACUGACACCUCUUUCAGCAUUGCAACAAUACACAAACAGAACUAAGAAAUUUCUAGGUAUUAUGUCCCUACUUUAUAUCUUAUAUAGUACAACAUAAACAACAACCCAUUAACACUUUUAAAAACCUUUUCAUUUGCAGAUGUAAUUGGCCAAAUAACUAUUGUACCUAACGCUGCAAUCAUCUGGCUCACCAAUGAAAGGCAGCAGGUGAAACGAAUCAUCAUCUUACAAUAUUUAAGUGGAACAACAAUAGAGGUAUCACUUUGGGGAUCAAGAGCAACUGAAUUUGACGGAGAUCUCGUACAUCAAAUUGGACAAAGCCAACCAAUCAUUAUUAUCUUUGUUGGAACACUAAUGAAGCAAUAUAAAGGACCAGCAUUUCUAAGUGGAACUUCAGCAUGCCGCUGGUAUAUAAACGAAGAUAUUCCACAUAUCAAAGAGUUUUAUGCAAGGGGCGCAAAUUCCGCUAUACUGUUACAAUUACAAAACUGUUAGUACAACAAGGGUGGCCUUAUCCAGCUUGCAAGUCAUGCUGCUCAAAAUCCCGUUUGAUCAAUUCAGAAUACCAAUGUACAAGAGAGGACUGCAAGUGCGUAUAUGCUAAUUAUAGGUACAAACUAUCGAUCAUGGCCGCUGAUGAAACAUGUGAACUUGAAUUUAUUUGGUGACGUCGCACAAGAACUUAUCAAGAAACCAGUACACAAACUUUUAGAUGUCUACGACAAGUCACAAGUACCACCAGAGAUAUCAGGCAUACUAAACAAAAAGUACACUUUUAUUGUCAGGAUAAUCCCAAAGAGAAGUGCAAAUAAUACAAAUCCAUCUUUCGAAGUAGUUUCAUAUUGUGCAUGAGUUUGGAAAACAAGAAAACAUACCAAUCCCUCUAAAAAGUGAUAUUCAAUGUUCUACCACUGCUCCACCUGCUUAUGCAAACCUUGAAUCAGACACAAGAGAUCUAGCUCCACUUAUUCCUAUCAGAUCAAAACUAUAUCAAAAACAGGAUACAAUGAUGAAUAUGACCCUGCCAGAAUCUAUGGAAAUAGAACAAACUGAGAUGUAUCGCCACCAGAUGUUGUUGGAAAGAAAAGAUUAUCUGAAACAACAUUGGAUGCACAGGCAGUGACAACGGAGAAAUGGCAGCCUCUUAAGCAUCAGCAAACACUACAUUGCAAGACUAAGUUAACCUUUUGAUGUAUAAUUGGACAUUUUGGACUCUACUGGGCAUCGAUGCCCUUUUGUUAAGUGCAAUCUUUUUUAUGUAUAUAUAUCGCACCUAGAUGCAUGCCACUGCAUCCAGCAAAUUCAUCGCUGCAGCGUCAUGUAAACUACAAUAGGCCCACCUACUAUUCUUGAUGUGUUAAAUUAUAUAUCUCAUACUCUAAAUAUCCUAUAACCUUCUGUGCAAUAUGUACAAAGGUGAAACAGUCUAAUGUCUGAAGAUGCUGUACUCCCU